AACGAACGCUGGCGGCAGGCCUAACACAUGCAAGUCGAGCGAAGCCUUCGGGCUUAGCGGCGGACGGGUGAGUAACGCGUGGGAACGUGCCCUUUGCUACGGAAUAGCCCCGGGAAACUGGGAGUAAUACCGUAUGUGCCCUUCGGGGGAAAGAUUCAUCGGCAAAGGAUCGGCCCGCGUUGGAUUAGGUAGUUGGUGGGGUAAUGGCCUACCAAGCCGACGAUCCAUAGCUGGUUUGAGAGGAUGAUCAGCCACACUGGGACUGAGACACGGCCCAGACUCCUACGGGAGGCAGCAGUGGGGAAUCUUAGACAAUGGGGGAAACCCUGAUCUAGCCAUGCCGCGUGAUCGAUGAAGGCCUUAGGGUUGUAAAGAUCUUUCUGUGGGGAAGAUAAUGACUGUACCCACAGAAGAAGCCCCGGCUAACUCCGUGCCAGCAGCCGCGGUAACAC
rnacentral:rRNA from 1 species